UGGAGUGUGACAAUGGUGUUUGUAU
rnacentral:ncRNA from 3 species